rnacentral:misc_RNA from 1 species
GAUCUGAAUAUUAGAAUUUCACUUCAGCACGUCCUCAUCCCAAGGCCAAGAAUAUAAGUAAAUAGAGUUCAACCUAUCGCAUGAUAAUAAAGCAUGUAAGUUCAUUCUCAUUGACAGACCCAUUCGUCCUCAUUGACAGACCCUAUUAGCUAAUGCAAUGCAAAUGAUAUUAAAAAAUGCAUUCUUAUCUACCUGCACCAGCGC